rnacentral:rRNA from 1 species
AGAGUUUGAUCAUGGCUCAGGAUAAACGCUGGCGGCGUGCAUAACACAUUCAAGUCGAACGAAGCGCGUAGGAAUUUCCUUCGGGGGAUGAAUACAAGACUUAGUGGCGGACGGGUGAGUAACGCGUGAGCAACCUGCCUUUCGAUGGGGGAUAACGUUUGGAAACGAACGCUGAUACCGCAUAACAUAUAACGACCGCAUGGUUGAUAUAUCAAAGAAUAAUUGUCGGAAGAUGGGCUCGCGUUGGAUUAGAUAGUUGGCGGGGUAAAGGCCCACCAAGUCAACGAUCCAUAGCCGGACUGAGAGGUUGAACGGCCACAUUGGAACUGAGAAACGGUCCAGACUCCUACGGGAGGCAGCAGUGGGGAAUAUUGGGCAAUGGGCGAAAGCCUGACCCAGCGACGCCGCGUGAAGGAAGAAGGUUUUCGGAUUGUAAACUUCAGUGAGCAGGGAAGAAAGAAGACGGUACCUGCAGAGCAAGCCACGGCUAACUACGUGCCAGCAGCCGCGGUAAUACGUAGGUGGCAAGCGUUAUCCGGAAUUACUGGGUGUAAAGGGUGUGUAGGCGGGAUUUCAAGUCUGAUGUGAAAACUAUCGGCUCAACCGAUAACGUGCAUUGGAAACUGAGAUUCUUGAGAGUCGGAGAGGUGGACGGAAUUCCCGGUGUAGCGGUAAUAUGCGUAGAUAUCGGGAAGAACACCGGCGGCGAAGGCGGUUCACUGGACGACAACUGACGCUGAGACACGAAAGCGUGGGGAGCAAACAGGAUUAGAUACCCUGGUAGUCCACGCCCUAAACGA